rnacentral:lncRNA from 1 species
GAUACUCGACUUCUUGAUGAACACACAAGAAGACUCGAAGCUAAAUCACUAUUCAAUAAUGUAGAAGAAAAUGAAUAGGGAAGAAGGAAGAAGAAGAUGAAUGAGAAGAAGAAGAUGAAUUCAAUCACCAAAACAACCUAAACCAAAACCUAAACAAACUCCAAGAACAAGAGAAAUCUUGGACGGCCAAAGGACUAACUUGUUCUUUGGAAGAGAAACCCUAUUUAUACUUAGGGUUGGAAACCAAGGAAAAUGGGCCGAAAUAGUGAAAACCCACAUUGGACGUACGUACGUCGAUAUGACGUUCGUACGUCUCAAACCGAAAUACACCUGCUGACUACUUGGACGUACGAACGUCCUAAGAAGGUACGUACGUCCAGACCAAACAAACUUCCUGCUGACAUACCAUACGUACGUACGUCCUGAAGAGGUACGUACGUCCUGAACCAAAUACCAUACUUGAGACACACGACGCGAAGACAAGGACACGGGACGACGCGCGUACAACAAAGUUUUCUUAACAAUGAACUCAAGGCGAAAUAACCAAGGACGACCAAUGUCACAAAAUUGAUGUCAAACCACUUCGUGCCGGUUUCAAUCUCCCCCUUUGACAUUGAUUUUGUGACAAAAACCUAUGACUCUAAUAGCACUUAUAAAACGUGCUUACAAACCCAAACCAUGGCAUUUAUAAAACAUGCCUACAAAAUCACUCAAGGUAGAACACAUACCAAGUCACCAAUUCUUGUUAUCCAGCUUGAGCAAGACGCUUUAACCAUCAGAGACCGAACGGAAGCAACUAAGAAUUUCCGAAACAAUCAAGGAAUCAACAGAAGUUCCUUCGAGCAAUUCCCCCAUACUUCAUGAGCUCCAAAAUUUUGACACUCGAGCUCCCCUAUAACUGUACAACCUCUAAUCAUCAACACGUUCACUCCCCCAUACUUGUAGGAUACCUGCAACAUGACCCAAGAAUACACUAACAAAGGAAGAAACGAAUGUUAGUAUUAGAGUCAUAAAUCUCCCCCAUUUUGUCACAAAUGAAGCAAGGUAACAAAAGAAAGAGAAAAGAAAAAAAUACCAAACCAUAACAAAUAAGAUUAAAGAAGAAAAGAAAGAGAACAAUCAUGUUAACAACAAAAAGGAUAUCCAACGGAAGCCAUAACAUAAACACUUGUUAACGCGAUGUCAAUACAAAGAAUUCUCUCCCAAAACAAAAGCUUCUCCUAAAUGCAAUGCAUAUGAGAAAGAUGCACCUAGAACAAACAAACCAAAUAAGGAUAUUUGAAACACACAAAGAACCAAACAUACAAGGGUAGAAGAGAGUAAAGAGAAAACCAUACCAUAAAUCUGGAAUCCAUGACGCACAAAACUAAAAAACAUGAGAGAGAUCUAGACAUAUAAAUGAAGAAGAAAGAGUACCAACACAGACACAAGAAGGAAGAUUAGAUAAGACCCAAAACGAGAUAAGAAGGAGAUAGUGAAAAGACACUGAAUACUUAUAUAGGUAACAGAGGGAAGAAAAGAAAACAUAACAUGAAUCCCUGAUAGAAACCAAGAGAAACCUAUACUUAGAAGAAAGAGUCAGGACACCAACAAUCAGAACAAAUGAUUCACUAGAAUAUCACUUUAAACAACCGACCAUAACCACCUGAGAUAGACUCCAGAGAGACUACUUCAUAGUAGGAAGAUAUCUAGAGAAAAAGAGCAAACAAACAAAAAGGAAGGAAUACCAUACCCGAUGAAAUCGGCAACGUACAAUAAUGACCAAGAACCGAAUAGUCAAACCUGUGAGAAAUGUGCAAGAAAAGAAUAUGCGAAAAGAGAAAGAAGAAGAGAUAAACAAUAGUUAGUAGGAAAUAUGAAAGAGAAUAGGGAAACCAUGCUUACUAGACACAUCCAACAAUAUCCCAUGACAAAACUACAGGAAUAUGAGUAUCUGCAGGAAGAGAUAUGUAAAGUAGAAGAAAAUCCAUUGAGAAUCCAUGGGGAAAUCCAAUCUGUACAUGUUCCUGUAAGCCCACCCUAGUGAAACCCAACAAUUAGUUCAACAUAUGCCAAACAAGAUAAGCAAUCAUCAAGCUCAUAAAAAGAAAUGCUUUAAUCUGAAGAAUUAGCAAGGAUUAACGAUUUCACCAAGUCACAAAACAACAAUCCAACUUCAGAGCAAAUUUCCUGCCAGAACACUAAGACUCCGAUGACAUGCCAUACAUUGUCAGAAAGAUUAGAGAGUCAAUAGAAGAGAAUUGCUAACAGUAGAUGACCGAACAGAGCAUAUGCAUCCCAAAGUAGAGCAGUGGUAGCCCAAAACCAUUGCAUGAGGAUUAUUACAGAAAACUACCAAGAACACAUCUAAUCAAACCUAUUGCAGGAAAAAAUAGGAUCAACCAGACACAAGAAGCAACAAUAAGAGGAUAGGCAAGUCUCAUAAGUAUUUAAUCACACACCAGCUAGCCAACAAGGUAAUUCAAGAAUAUUAUCCCAACAUAGAAAAGUAUGAUGAGAACCUAUGAGAAAAACAUGAAGCAGUAUAAAUCAUGACAAACGAAUACACCAAUAACAUGAUUUCAUCACCAAAAUAUGCUUAUGCAUACCUUGUAGCUUUCUUAAAACAAAUUGAGAACUAUUACCUUGAGAAAUCACAUCAAACACAUGUGAGCCAAUGACAAAAAUAGAAAGCAUGAAGUGUAAAACCAAAUAAUACUAACAAUCUGACCUUAGUAUGUCAAGGAAACACCGACUGAAAAGAAUUACCAAGGAUGGAACCAAAAUAGAGUAAGCCAGAAACACUUUCAGCAAGAACAUCCGCCUGUAAAGUUACUGAGAGAAAAAUAAAGUUGACGACACGCACAUUGUCCAUGAACUCCUUUGAGCACGAGGAGGACGUGUGCCCGAUGACAAAGCACCCUUGGAACCGGGUGUUUCCUUAGUUGGAGUAGUGCAAGCGUGCUUAGGAAGCAUGGCCUGCACACACACAACAUUAUAACACCACACAAGUAAGUAAAACCAACAAAACAACCAAGAAAAACCUUAGGAAACCCAUUGAGGCAUUUCACCAAACACUUGGUGAGCAAUACAGGACAUAUAGGCAAAAACACUACAUGAGCUUACCAAAAUGAUACUAAACAUGUCCAUGAAACUCCACAACCAUUAAUAAUCACAAGAAGUUCCAAAAAGCAUCUAGACAACAAGUAUAUAUCCAAUGGUAUGAACCCAAUAUGAUCAUGGUAAACAAGCUCAUAAUCCAAAGCAUAACCGACAAAUAAUAAUGAAGUAUCAAGAGAAGAACAGAGAGUAAUAAGAGCUUCCUAAACAGUUAGAAGGGGAUAAAAAACUUCUCUUGUUCGUGCUUAGAGAAUAUAUGCACGAUUUGAAUUUAGUUGGCAAGAAUUUCAAACAGAUGGGCUGGAGAAGAAAACAAUUUGGGCCGUUACUGUUCAGAGGACGUACGUGCGUCUUUAGUACGUUCGUACGUCGGAAUACAAGAAAAAAACCUUGCUGCCUGAACAUGCGUACGAACGUUAUAACACCGUUCGUACGUUCCUCCAAAAAAAAACAUCUGCCUCCACAAACAUUCGAAUGUGCUAAUAACGUUCGUACUUUUUUUUUUUUUUUUUUUUAACAGAAAAGCAAACCAAAUGACAAACAACACAAACCAUAAUAAGAAGAGAAAAGGAAAAAAAAAACCGAUGUACCAUAGAAGUGAAGAGGAAUACAUCAUGAACUUCCAAAAACAGUAGCCAAUCCCAAUCCGUACAAAAAUGAGAGGCAAUAUAUGGGGAUAAACAAAAGAUUGAACAAAUAAGAGAAUUGAAGUGCAUCAUAAACUAAACCUCGGUGUGUAGAUGCAAUGCAAUGCAUAAAGAGAGAUAAAGUUCACCACUAGAACACACCCUUUGAAGACCUAGAAUAUAGAACCAUCAACAAGAGACAUACGAUUAGCAAGUGAGCUUAGAAGAAACAAACUUCAAUCCCCUUUGAAACAAACAAUAUGAGUGGAAGACAAACGAAUAUAAAUAUGAACUUUCAAACAAAAACCAAGAUAUCCAAAAGGCAAAGGAAUAUAAACUUUGUAUGCCUUACAUAAAAAAAAACAAUGAAUAUGCGCUUGGAUUUUUAUUUUGCCGCAUGUGGUGGAGUUUAGUCUUCAUCACUAAUGUCAUUCCCGCGUGGGAGGGAUUUUUGCCUCCAUCUUUUCAAAUACACGAGGGUAGGGUGUAGCCUACAUCUUUUUGACAAACACAAACUCAAGAAGUGCAAUACCAUGAUAACGUGCAACACAAGAACUAACAUCUCUUGAGUGCAUCCGUCAGAGCAUGACCCUCACAACCCCAACGGGUUCUUAGCCAACUGAUAUUGCUUCAAAGACAAUCAAAUGGCUGGGGAUAAGGUGAGUCAUUGACCACUAAUAAGAGUUGUAAUAGGAAGAUAAGAAUGUUCAAUAACACGAACAACAAGAUGAACAUUAACCAAAACAAAGGAGAGAUAGCUCAAGAUAACAUAAAUACUUGAGAGAUAGAGAAGUUCUAUGAGCUCAAAGAAUAUGUAAGUGGUUUCCAAAAACUCCCAUCAUGCAAGCAUGCCGUGCACUGUGCAAACAAGCGAGGAAAAAUGCAUGAUACAUACCAAAACAUACUUAAGAGUUCAGAAAGAGAAAACAACCAAACAUAUUGCAACUUAUUUAAGACAAUUGAAUUAAACCAAUAUCUCAGAAAAGAUGCAACCAACAACACAUACAUGGAAUAAAUAAAGAAAAAUAGAAGGAAUAACCAACAAUGUAUUCAGACAUGCAACAUGAUCUGCAAGCUAAACAAACAAAGCAUAAAAAGUAGAAACACCAAACAAAUAGCCUAUGUGGUUAGAGAAAUAUGCAAUUCAAAUAACACAAGGCUAGAAACAACCUACAUCAUCCCAAAUAUGGGACACCACCAGACCUUUGCAAGUCCAGAAAAACCUUCAACUUAUCCUUUCUUAUCCAUACUUGUUUAACACUAGGCGUGCACACCUUGGAAGUUGAAAAGAUAUGAGAUUUCUCCUUAACCAGCUUUGCAAUACACUUAUCCUUAACUAAUUCCACCUUAGGCUUAGACUUCCUUUUGUUGGAAUACCUGUUUUUCUUAAACCUGUGAUGAGAACCAUUAUAAUUCCAAGGUCUAGAAAAGGCACAAGAAGAAACAUUAGAAUCAACAUGAUUAUAAUGAUUAGGAACACGAGAAUAGGAUGCAUCAUGUUGAUUAAAAUCCCAACAAAAAAUAUUCAAAUGACCAACCCUACCACAAUAAGAACAAUGAAAAACAUUAGACUUACUCAAAGAAUUCUUAUAAGAAGAUGUGGUAGUGGUGGAUAAACCAUGUAUGUCACUAUUUGGUUUAUGACAUUGUCGUUUAACAAAACCCAUACCUCCCCUAUUAGAACAAGAUGGCUUACUAGCAAAAGCAACCUUAUCAUUAGCCUUAGACUUAAACUUUGUGCAAGAAACAUGCUGAAAACUAUUAGUAUUAAGUCUAGUCUCAAUAGGCGGGGUAGGCAAAAGAGCAGGCAAACUAGAUUUUACAGAAGUAGUCACACUAGAUGAACGAGUAGAACUAGCAAUAGGAGAGUCAAAUCUAGUUUUGUCCAAAACCUGCAAUUGGAGUUGAGUAGACGUUAAACCAUUCUUUGUUACCUCAUACUCCACCAAUAGAGAUUUGUAUUUCUCAUCGACCUCCUGAUUGGCCUUCUCUAAAGCUGCAAUUCUACAUAACAAGUCAAGUUUUUCUUUGUCAAAUAAUUGAGAAAUAGAGAUUUCAUCAUCUGCAACACAAGAAAUUUGUUUUUCAAGAAUCUCAAUUUUAUCCUGCAAAGAAAGAUUAGCCUUUUCCAAAUUUUCAAUUUUGGAUUCAUAAACUUCCCCUUGAAGCAUAUAGUCUUCUGCACAAUGUCUGAGUCGUUGUUCUAGAGAAUCAACCUUAUUCUGCAAAACACCAUUAUCUUCAAAACAAAAAUUAUCAGAAGUAGUAGACAAAUUACAAUUAGCUUUAUUAAACUUUUCCUGCAAAUCAACAUUAGCUUUUUGUAAUCUUUCACAUUCUUUUGCAGAAAGUCUGUAAAGAAGAGCCCAAUUAUUAUUGUCAACCAGAAUCAAAUCCCUGUCACAGUCACUAGAGCAUUCUUUACUAGCAGUUGAUUGUUCAUCAGACAAUCGAGCAACAACCGAGACAUAUGUCUUACCAGAGUAACUCAUAGCACUAUUGAUCGUUAGCGUGAGCCUUUACGCUCCUUAACCAGCCCCCAGCGACUGAUACCAAUUGUAAAACUACAAAUAGUGCUAAUCUAACAAUUGAAUAUUCAACCAAAUCAAACAAUACGCAGAAAGUAAAUAACACACAGGAAUUUUUAACGUGGUAAAACCCAAUAUGGGAAACGUCCACGGUUGUCCUCGCGACAACAAAUAAAUCCACUAGAUGAGAAAGAGAUUUACAAACCUAUCAACUACCUGCAAUCACUCCGAGUUGACACUCCUGGUUAUCUCUAACACCUUGACUUUACCAGAGCACCUUGAUGUACGCACAAGACACUCGACUUCUUGAUGAACACACAAGAAGACUCGAAGCCGAUCUAUGUAACAAGCUUAAACCAGAGUUCCUUGAUGAACACACAAGGAUACUCGACUUCUUGAUGAACACACAAGAAGACUCGAAGCUAAAUCACUAUUCAAUAAUGUAGAAGAAAAUGAAUAGGGAAGAAGGAAGAAGAAGAUGAAUGAGAAGAAGAAGAUGAGUUCAAUCACCAAAACAACCUAAACCAAAACCUAAACAAACUCCAAGAACAAGAGAAAUCUUGGACGGCCAAAGGACUAACUUGUUCUUUGGAAGAGAAACCCUAUUUAUACUUAGGGUUGAAAACCAAGGAAAAUGGGCCGAAAUAGUGAAAACCCACAUUGGACGUACGUAUGUCGAUAUGACGUUCGUACGUCUCAAACCGAAAUACACCUGCUGACUACUUGGACGUACGAACGUCCUAAGAAGGUACGUACGUCCAGACCAAACAAACUUCCUGCUGACAUACCAUACGUACGUACGUCCUGAAGAGGUACGUACGUCCUGAACCAAACACCAUACUUGAGACACACGACGCGAAGACAAGGACACGGGACGACGCGCGUACAACAAAGUUUUCUUAACAAUGAACUCAAGGCGAAAUAACCAAGGACGACCAAUGUCACAAAAUUGAUGUCAAACCACUUCGUGCCGGUUUCAAGGUGGGCUGCCAAUAUUGCUCUCUGUAUGAUUUCCUCUCAUAUACAGAUUUUUACACUUAGAAAAAUGGCCUAUUACAGGAUCAGGUAGCCAAGAUUGAAGACUAAACCUCAUGGAACAUGCAUGAGAGGAGACCAACUUUGCAAUGGGAGCAAGAACAAUGGGACCAGCUGUUGACUUUGCUCAGACAACAGAGAUUAAGCAAUGAUCCUGACAACUGGAUAUGGUGCCCUACAAGUAAGGAGUCUUUCACAGUCAAAAGUUUUGAUGAUAAACUUGAAGAAGAAAGGAGAGCCCUCAAUGCUGCUACACUGCCUGGUUUCCCUUACAACUUGGUAGGGUCUACUGAUAUCCCUUGUAAGAUCAAAUUUUUUUUUUCUGGUGCUUUGUACAAGGUAGAAUCCAAACCACGGAUCACCUUGUCAGAAGAGGAAUGGACCUGCCUGACGUAUGCAUUGUCUCUAAGCAGUACCCUGAAACUGCUACACACUUCACUGGUUGUAAGGGUACUGGAGAAAUGGCCAAGGCAUAGGAGAAAAGGGAUCGGAGCAAACUUACUAAGUCUCUUACCUUAUGCAAUUAUGUGGAAUGUAUGGCUCACAAGGAAUGAUUACAUCUUCAAAGUGAAGCCGCCUAAUCUCGACAAACUCUGAAGCAGAAUUAAGCUUCUCUGUAGUUCUGGAUUGGAGGUAGAGCUCUGAACAAAUAUUAUACCUAUGCAUGCAGAUCUGACCAACAACUGGGAGUUAAUGCUGCUGCUGUAAUUGUCGAUUGUAAUUUGCUUUGGUUAUGUACACACUCAAGAGUUGUGAACUAUAAUACUAUAUGCAGUGAAUCUCUCUCUCAGUCAUCUUGUUACCAUCAAUUAAAAGCGCCAAUUUAUCUAAAAAAGAAACCCUCAGACAUAGCAAUUUCAAUUCAC